GAAGUCUUUCAAGGGUUGAAGUUUAUGAUGGCGUGGAAAGGUUAUUCUUCGUGCCUUGCUACUUCUGAGUGUGUGUAUCUCAAUUUCUGGAAGUACCGUCAAGAAAGACUCUACAAAAAAGCUAUUUGAAGAAGAAGAACAAUACUUUUGCUACCAGUAUGCCCGUCAGGCUGUUGGUAUUGACGGAAGACUUUAUGUGAAAAUACAAAACUUCAAUUCGACCUUGCCACCAUUGUGCGAUAGCGCACAGCGCAUGGAGAAAAAAGACGACACACAUUACAUUUUUGAAUUAGCUGCGGUUGUUCCAGUACCCAACAUGACAAUAAUAGUGAAGUUCAACACGUCACUCAAUCUUUCAAAAACUGGAAACCACAGCGACUACAACGCUAUGACGUAUCAGUAUACAACGUUUGAGCUACCAAAGCUCAGAAAACUUAUGUACCUUUCUCCACAAAAUAACUGUAUGAUAUUCGUCGACGACCGAAAUUCGACUGAUGAUGCACGAUGCCAGCUACUUCAGCCAGCACAAUUCGCAAAUGAUACCAUUCCUGAGGACUGCGACAUGGUCUACCGAAAUAACUGUCCUGGAAAAUUAAACCUAACUGUGUACAAGCCUUGGUGUCAAAGCCUACCUGAAAUAUCAGUGCAAGAGUUAGCGAAAAGAAUGACUACUACACCUGCUCCUGGCGAAUGCUGAUUCAAGUGAUACAUAGAGCACGGAGUUGAGCGUCACUCUAAACUGAAUAUCAAUAUAGCAACAAUAAAGAUUUGUAAUGGG